rnacentral:lncRNA from 1 species
GCCAUAAUUUUAAUUUACUAUACUACAUUAUAUACACUAUGCAUUCAAUCAUUGACGAACAGUCCCAAACUGACUAUAGUCUAUACUGUUCUGCACAAGUUUAUCAUGCAUGCAGUCCUGCCAGAUUUUCUGGUACUAUAUAUACUGUGUUCCUUGCGCACUAAAGCAAGUUUUCACACUUAAGCAUCCAUAACAUAGCAGUGAGAUUUGUAACUUU